GCGGCAAUAGCUCAGUGGUAGAGCCCCGCUUAGCGUGCGGGGAGACCCGGGUUCGAUUCCCGGCUGCUUCU
rnacentral:tRNA from 1 species